AGUGAACGCUGGCGGUAGGCCUAACACAUGCAAGUCGAACGGCAGCACAGUAAGAGCUUGCUCUUACGGGUGGCGAGUGGCGGACGGGUGAGGAAUACAUCGGAAUCUACUUUUUCGUGGGGGAUAACGUAGGGAAACUUACGCUAAUACCGCAUACGACCUACGGGUGAAAGCAGGGGAUCUUCGGACCUUGCGCGAUUGAAUGAGCCGAUGUCGGAUUAGCUAGUUGGCGGGGUAACGGCCCACCAAGGCGACGAUCCGUAGCUGGUCUGAGAGGAUGUGCGGCCACACUGGAACUGAGACACGGGCCAGACUCCUACGGGAGGCAGCAGUGGGGAAUAUUGGACAAUGGGCGCAAGCCUGAUCCAGCCUUACCGCGUGGGUAAAGAAGGCCUUCGGGUUGUAAAGCCCUUUUGUUGGGAAAGAAAAGCAGCAGGUUAAUACCCCGCUGUUCUGACGGUACCCAAAGAAUAAGCACCGGCUAACUUCGU
rnacentral:rRNA from 1 species